UACGUAGGGUGCGAGCGUCGUCCGGAAUUAUUGGGCGUAAAGGGCUCGUAGGCGGUUUGUCGCGUCGGGCGUGAAAACCCAGGGCUUAACUCUGGGCUUGCUUUCGAUACGGGCAGACUAGAGGUAUGCAGGGGAGAACGGAAUUCCUGGUGUAGCGGUGAAAUGCGCAGAUAUCAGGAGGAACACCGGUGGCGAAGGCGGUUCUCUGGACCGUAACUGACGCUGAGGCGCGAAAGCGUGGGGAGCAAACAGG
rnacentral:rRNA from 1 species